rnacentral:lncRNA from 1 species
CUUAGCAAAAUUUUAGGUAAGAGUAAGCCGAGCUCUAUACGAGCUCCGAACUCUGUCCUAUGAGGUUUGCCUAAGUAUACUUAGCAAAAAAUUCAAGUAAGAGUUAGCCAAACUCUGUCCGAGUUCUGAACUCUGUCCCAUGAAUCUUCCUAAAGUAUACUUAGCAAAAUUUAGGUAAGAGUAAGCCGAGCUCUAUACGAGCUCCGAACUCUGUCCUAUGAGGUUUGCCUAAGUAUACUUAGCAAAAAAUUCAAGUAAGAGUUAGCCAAACUCUGUCCGAGUUCUGAACUCUGUCCCAUGAAUCUUGCCUAAAGUAAACUUAGCAAAAUUUUAUGGAAGAAUUAGUUGAGCUCUAUGCGAGCUCCGAAUUCUGUCCUACGAGAUUUGCCUAAGUAUACUUAGAUAAUAUACAAAAAUAAAACUAUUUAAGCAGCAAGUCUCAUGCAAAAACAACUACAAAAAAGAAAAUAUAUUCAUUAUAGACUUCAAAGGAUUUUUUGAUACAAAAAAUCUUAAAAAUUUUUUUUUACAAGUAUAGGGAAACAUCGGCAUUCGAGCCGCCUUCAACAACUGUGUUGGCCUCUGAUGCAUCCUGACUGAGAUUGUCGGCCACCUCGAGGGACUUCUCUGGGUCCUCAUCUGCCAUUUCCUACAAUAGGUCUUCCUUAUUGAAAUCGGGUAGCACAAGGGAGGAGUAAGGUUGAGGAGGAUCUACCGGCUCAAUCCCGAGGGGAGUCGCGCUCUACGAGGGAUGAUUAAAGGAGAUACUGAACUCUUUUAGGCAUGCCAGCCAGUCCUCCUGGAAGAUACUCGGGUGAAGCUCAGCCAGUUGCUUGUCGUAAUUGUCUCAAGCUUAGUCGAUCCCUCGGUUAUACACUCGCUCGAAGACCUGGCCGCAGGCGGCUGCCUCCAUCUCCCCCAGAGCCUUAUUCAACUACUCUUAGACAACAGUCAUUUCACCUCGAGCAUCGAUGAUGGUGGCAUAACUGACAUCAUGUUCCUAAGCAGUUGUAGCAAGGGCCAGCUUCACCUACUCCACAGCAUCAGAGUCCAAUUUUGCCUAUUUCUCUAAAGAGCUAAUCUUUUUCUUUGACUUCUUGCUCUCGAAAAACUGCUUCUUGAUCCCUCUCUAAGAUGGCAAUAGCUCUCUAGAGGCUCUACAAAACAAAAAAGGGGAAAUGAUAAGUACCCAAAAUGCAAUAAACAAAUUGAAAACCACCCGAGGUUAAGAUACUUACCUGAACCUGCUGCAUCACAAGUAGAUCCUGAAUCUCCUUUGAGCCUUCCUCAACAAGAUCGACAACAUAUUUAUGCAGCAUGCCUGCUUAUGAACUGCCAAAUGGCCCAAGUGGUAUCAUGGGCUUGCCCAGAGUUAGCUAGGUAAGAGUUACCUAUUUUAUCGAGCUUGGUAGUGGAGAAGUCGGGCUUUCAAAGCUCGACAUGUACGCUUGAGGAAGGAAGGAAGGAAAGCCGAGCUUGUUUCCACUUUUUCUUCUUGGACUUCUUGGAUGGCCCCCCUGCGAGCUGCUUCCCUUUGUGCUUGUCCAAGAGAGGUGCUUCCAAUAAACUUGGUUCGACCUCUUUCUAAGCAGUCAAGGCUAGAAUCGGAGCAGGGUUGGCUGCGGGGCCUCGCUAACUGAAGGAAUUGACACCGCGGGAGGAUCGGUAACUGGCCUGGACUGCUUAUGGCCUAAAGUCCUAAACCUCGGAACCAUGUUGACCUCGUCUGAGCUCAUAUCGGAAUCACUAUCCUCUUUGAAGGAAUGGGCGAUCACGACCUCACCCACGGGCUAGAGAGCGGGGCAAAAACAAGGUCGGCGGAGUGUUCGAAGUCCGAGCUCAAAACCAGAAUGGGCUCAACGGUAGGUACUUCCAAGUCAGCAAUAGGAACUACUCGUCAUCUUCUUUUGUUCAAAACUAGCUAGUUCACCUCUUCUUCUCCCUCCUUCUCAUUGUUUGAAGAUUCAAAUGAAGUGUAGCUGGAUGUGCUUAAAGUGGUGCCUUCAUCCUAGCUUGGAUCUCGGGUAAGGAGCGCGUUCUCGUUGAGCUCGGCGCUAAAGUCUUCUGAACUAAAGUCGUUGCACCAAGAAGCCCAGCCUUCAAUACGCAGCGCCGAAAGCCUAAUCCUACCAAGCUCGUCAGCCUUGUGGGGGAUGAUGUGGCGGUAGACAGGCUUAUAGGCCAGAAGAUCUACAACCUUCUUGGAAGCUCGCCUAUUGUUAAUAUCUUGGAUAGUUGCCUUGCACUCCUCAGACCUUCUCCUAAAGAGCUCAUUGAAAUAUGCCAUAACAACAAAGGCAAGUAUCAGAAUCAACAUAAUUUUUUUUUUACAAGUAUGCAAAGUACAGAUUUGGUAAAGAGAAACUUAUUAUAUGAAAGAUGGCCAUUAUGCCUUGGGAACGAGAAGAGGCCAUCGUCCUCAACUUGGAAUUCCCACUUUUCAGAAACCCAAAUGAACUCGUUCAGAAACAAGUCUUUGUCUAGGUUGUCAAUAACCAACCUCAUUUGUAGGUGACAAGGAUUUCUGAGGUGCAGGUAAUGGUUACCCUUUAAGAAAGGUGUACCCGAUUCUCACUUCGGACACACCACUUUGUACACAUGAAGCAGGUCCGAGUCACUAAAAGGGAGCUCCAAUUGUUAUGUCAGGGUGUCCACAACGAAUUUGGUUGAGACUUGCAUAAAGGUGUGGUGGCAUUGUGCCAUCACCUCCUUCAGCAUCGGGCUUAUGGGGAACCGAAGCUCGGCUUAGUGGAUUAACUAGAUCUGAAUUGGGAUACGGUCCCUAUUGCCUUUGAUUAGGUUUGCAUCUUUGUUGGACUUAGAACACUUUAUUAGAACGUCUUCAAGGAUGCCAUGAUCGAUCCUGAACUUAUUCAAGGCUGAGUUAUUGUGAACCAAACACUGAGCUCGGUUUAACUCCACGGUCUAAAAACAGGAACAAGUCAGUUAGAACGAGCUCAGCUCAGCAAUUGUGAUGAGCUUUUGAGAGCAGAGUCAGAUGAGCCCUCUAUGAGCACUGAGCUCUACCCCAUAAGCACUACUCACUAUUUUCUAAGGGACAACUAUCAGACCCCCUUCCCACCUCGAACCUAUCUUGACAAUAGAGGAAUUUGGGGGGGGGGGGAAUACCUUAAAUCAAUGAUUUUUGGCCUAUAUGGUAGCCCGAACCCGUUUUACAAGGCAAACGUUAAGGAGGGACAUAGUUUCACCGACACUCAAAAAAAGUUAGAGUUCCAACAAGGCCGACCGGAGGCCAAGGUCGGUCAGUAACUCAAACUCACCAACAGAAGGAAAAUUUCAAAACAAGACAAUUCAAGGAGUUAAACAUAGAGACUCAAGCAAGAACAAAGUAAAUCCAGAAAUGAAAAACUACCAAAGCAUAAGAAGUGCAAAAAAACAUAGAAAAGAAUGGUGAUUAAAAACUUACCAAAAUUAAAUCCGGAGGAGAUUAACAACCGGAGAUCAAAUCGAUGAAAAAACCAAAAAGUGGUUAUGGCAACUCGGUCGCGACAGAGCGGGUAGAACAGGGACACACGAUUUCUCUCUAGAUUACUCUUAGAGUCCUGUGAUGAAUAGUGAUAGAGAGAGGCAAACAAAUAACCAUUAGGGAUCUAAAGAGGCAAGAAAGCACCCAAAUGUGCCCUUAAGGCCCGUUGUUUCACGGGCAGCUAAUCAUCCCCGAACCAACAAGAAACGAACACUUGACAGUCCCUUAGCCGCGCGUCCUCAUCAAACAAGUUCUAGGGGUAGGUGGGGGACCUCAACACUAGUACCCAAAUAAAGUUUGUAGACUAAUUAGACCCCGACAUAUAGCUCAACAAUAUAAUGAAAUGACAGACUUAAAUAGGAGAAAAAUUGCUAGCAGGCAUUAGUGUGUCCGCCAAGCUCCGGGGUUCAUAGGAUGAACAAGUUCAGUUCAUAUCACCUUGGCAAACAUUGACCCAGAUCAUGCGAAUUGAGGGACAAUUGUAAGGGGAUAAAUUAUAUAAUUAUGAAUUCUAGCCUUCCUAGGGCAGGCACCGCCAUUAAACUAUCGCUAUCAAGCAAGCUUGGUGGUCCCCUACGCCGGAGCUAGGUCAAGACACUACCAAAUACUUGCACCGUCCGAGCUAAGACUACCAUCACUUCUGAGUUGUCGCUAUUUAGUAAGCUCGGUAGGGUAAUCAACCAGAGUUUGGCCGAGGGCAACAGCCGGCGGUGAUCCCGAGGCAUGCCAGGGGACAAAAGGUAACUUGUACAGUAAAGCUUCUUUUAAUAGCCCCACUUAGAUUGAGACAUCGACAGCAUGAUGAUAAGAUACUAGCCAAGUUCUAAGAGCAUGGAUAAGUCAACCACUGACUCACUGACAUAGUGGUCGGCGUGUCUGAGCAAUUGUCGAGCUACAGUCUGUCUAGUGACACGACAAUUAGCGCGUUUAGGCACGCGUUGAGCUAUGUCAUAUAAAGUCAGCCUUUAUUUUCUAAAAAGUAUGCGAAUUCAGCAUAAAAGAGCAUACUCUCUCUUUACAUACAUUCUCCAGUUACCUAACUUGACCGUCGGAGAGUCAUUUUUUAAAAAUAGCUUUGGUGAUCGAUCUCAAUAUUUAUGUGUUGUAGGUAGGGCCCUUGCUUACGGUCACUAAUUCGCUUCAGAAGUGAUAUUCUAGCCCGCAAGUGUACGGGUCGCGAAAGUCAAGUAGAGUAGUAAUAACCCGAUAAUCGGUAUCGUUCUCUCCAAGGGACAUAGCCUAAAUAUAAGCUUGUAGCACUCAACUCAAACUAUACUAACGGAUCAAACUAAAACUUAUAUGAAUUGAACUCCCAUAAAGAAAAAAAUAAAAACUUAUUGGUUUGGGUUUGAUUGAUUUUAAACUAAAUCUAAAAUUAGAAGAAUAAAAGUUAAUUUAGACUUAAUUAAAAACAACUCGAAAUCAAUUGAUCCAAUCAAUUAGGUUUUUGGAAUCCCAAUAGGAGGCUUCUUAUAACUCAAAUCCUCGGACACAUCGGGGGUCUCUCGGAUUCGGAAGAGAUUUAGCUUUUAAAAAAUAAUUGUUCUUUCAAUCUUCAAUUCGUGAACAAAUAUAAUGAACCCAACUCAUGCAUAAACGUUACAAGGAGCGUAUAAAUGAAGUCAGCAAUUCAUAUAUAAACGUACUUAAAUAAUCUGAUUGUUAUAAUCAAGCCGUGCAUCAUCAUUGCAUCACAAAGAUGUUAUCGAACAUAAUAGGACUCCCAAGUUUGCGAAAGUAAAUAAAUCUGGUUGUUUUUAAUCAUGGUAGGGCAUUCAUCGAUCCGAAUAACAAGGAAUGUUUAUCGAAAUAUAGAACGUCUCAGUUUUCGAAAGUAUCUUAAAACGAAAAGAAGAAGAGAGCGGAGAAAAAUCAAGAAAAUAAAUCGGUGAUGGAUAUAAAUACCUCCAUUGUUACCUUGAUCCCCAAUUCAACUUUCACAUCAAUUCUAAGUUGAAAAAAACUAGCCAAACAUGGCUAAGAAAGCAUGUAAAUAAAAAUUAAAGACAUUGACAGUUAUGAAAAUUUGACUUGAAUUGUAAUCAUUAAACUUUUACAAACUAAAUAAAUCCUAAGAAUAUAUAAAACCUAAACUAAGGCUGAAGAAACCCUAAUCUAAAGCAUAACUUAAAGCAUUAUUUCGUGCAUAAGAGAUAAGGAAGUAUUAUAGGCAAUACAAUUUAGAAUCAUAAUAGGAUUAGGAAACUUCAAAACUUCUUAAUUGUUAUGUAGGUUGUAUCUCUAUUUUGACCACUUUGACGAUCGAAUCGCCAAUUCCUAUUAGAGAAACAAUUGUAUCCCGUUAAAUCUUCUUCUUAAGCGUCAAAAAUCAGCUCCAUCGGAAUCGGAGUAAAAAAGUUAUGGACCAAAUUACCGAGACUGAAUUUUUCACUUUUCAGCUCUCGCACUUUUCGAACUGUAAGCAAAGGAGUCGAAACUCUAGGGAUGUUUGGUAACUUUCUGUUUUAUGUUUUUUGGGUUUGUUUAAUUUUUUUUUUUGUUUAAUUUUUUGUAAAAACAAAAAACUCAAAGUAUGUUGGUGUUCACUUUUUUAAAAACUAUUUAAAAACAAAAAAUAUGUUUGAUUUCACCUACUUUAAAUAUUUAAAAAAUGUGUGUGAUGGAGACGGUGGUGGAGGGUGGGGAAGGCAGGAGGAGAGGGGUGGCGGUAGUGGUGGUAGUGGUGGUUUGGUGGCGGUGAGAAGGGGUGGAGGAGGUGGUAAUGAUGGCGGGAGGCGGUAGUGAGUGGCGUGGCGGGCGGCGGUGGUGGUGGUGGUGGUGGUGGUGAGGAGGGGUGGUGGAUAGCGGCGGCGGGUGGUGGAGGAGGCCUGUGGUGGUGGCGGCGGAAUAAGUUGUGGUGGUGGUGGUGGUGGUGAGGCGGUGGGGGAGGGGCGUGGUGGCGGUGGAGGUGGUGGUGUGGUGGUGAUGUGGAGGAGGAGGCGGGGGUGGAGGUGGUGGUGGUGGUGUGGUGUGGAGGAGGAGGAAGGUGGUGGAGGAGUGGUGGCGGGGUGGUGGUGGUGGAGGAGGAGGCACGGCGGUGGAGGUGGUGAAGGGGAGAGGAGGAGGAGGAGUUGGACGGGUGGCGGUGGGUGGCGGUGAUGCUGGUGGUGGCGGGUGAGUGGUGGAGGAGGAGCGGGGGGCGGUGGGGAGGAGAGGAGGAGCGGGGUGGUGGAAGUGGUGGAGGGGUGGAGGAGGGGUGGCGGGGUGAUGGUGGUGGUGAGGAGGAGGAGAGGAGGGAGAGGGUUGGAGGUGGUCGGUGGCGUGAUGGUGAGGAGAGGAGACGCGGUGGGGGAGGAGGGCUGGGGUGCGGGGUGGUGUGGUGGAGGAGGAUGGUGGUGGAGUUGGUGGUGGUGGGUGGCGAUGAUGCUGAGGAGGUGGGGUCGGUGGUUGUGGUGGAGGAGGAGGAGGUGGAGGUGGUGGUGGAGGAGGAGGAGGGACGGUGUGGAGGUUGGAGGAGGAUGGGUGGCGGUGAUGGUAGUGGUGGAUGUGGUGUGGAGGAGGAGGUGGCGGGAGGUGAUGGUGGUGGAGAGGCGGCGGUGGAGGUGGUGUGGAGGAGGAGGAAGGUGGCGGCGGUUGAUGGAGGGGCGGUGAUGAGGAGGUGGGUGUGGCGGUGAUGAGGUGGUGGAGGAGGAGGGGCGGUUGGUGGGGUGAGGAGGAGGUGGAGUUGGGGUUGAAAAUUGGAUUAAAAAAGUUGUAAAAUAAUUUUGAUAAACCAAAACAAAAACAAUUUUCUUGUUUUUCACUAUUUUCAAAAAUAGUGAAAACUGUUAGCCUGUUUUAUUUAUUUUUGCAACACAAACAAAGUUUCUGUUUCCAUAAUAAAUUAAACAAAAUUAGAACAGAAAAACGAAAAUUUAAAACAGUUACCAAAACUCACUUAGUGUAUUUUUUGCCACUUUUGCCUUUUUUCCUCAUUAACCUGCAAUGAACUCAGACACGACUAUAGUAGAAACAUGAAAAAAUAAAUAAUUAAACUAAUUAGGGCCAACUUAGGUCGGUUAAAUGGCGUUUGGCUACAAUAUGUAGUCCAAUUCACAACCCCAACAACUUUUUUGCUUAGUCCCUAGCAAAAAACAAAAUCAAAAAGAUAAUCUCUCAUUUCGUAAGCGUCCAGAGUCUCGAAUGCAAUUUAGCUUAUGCAUCAAGCCUUUAAAAACGCUAGGUUCCCUCGUGGAAGAGUGUGUCUUGUGAGGUCUUCUUGUGGAUGUACCCACAAAAUCACAUAAGCAAUGUAUCAAAAAAUAAUUUAAACAGUUUUCAACAAAAAUACCAAUGAAAAAAAAAACAGGCAAUUCAAAUCAAACCCCAUCAUGCUAAGCUAAUCUACCAAACUGUCAAGUGCAAUAUAAGCGCGAGAUUCAGGUGUGGAAGUGGUUAGAGUCGUAUCCCCACCUUCAGCCAUACGCAUCAAACAAAAAACCUUCAGUCUCGAUUCAAAACUCACAAGUCAGUACAUCUCACCAAUAGAACGCACCAGUUCCUUUCAAGGAAUUGCUCGUUGUAGAGUAAGUGUAAAGAAUUUACUAGAGUACUCCCCCUUUCACAACCCGCACAGAUAUACAGUGUAUCGCUUGGUAAUUUCCUGAACGACUUUUCACGUUAUGCACCAGUUGUGCCUUUGACUUGAUGGCUUCCCCGCCAAUAAUUUCGAAUUAGCAAUUACGGAGAUUUAAGGCCAUAUGAGUGAAAGAAUAGGUCCAGAAAGUAGAGAGAACAAGCGGUAAUAGAUUCAAUGUGCAUUUGCAACUACACAUACCAACGUAAUAAGCAUUAAACUUCAAAGCUCUCUUUUUUCACAACUUUUCAAAGUUGGAAUUCGGUUUUUUAAAUUUUUUUUCUUCUUCUUUUUGUCUCAACUUCUGAAAAUUACCUCCAAACAAUGGCUUUUGAGGAUCUUUUGUAUAUUACAAUUAUCGAAAAGAAUAACAGAAAGGAAGAUAUAUAUGAAUGGGCCUCCUCAAUGUAACAAAAUCGGAUAUGCGUGGUAAAGCAUGUAAAGAUGUCAAAAACUUUUAACUCAUCCACUAAAAUGUAAAACACAUCAAAAUAUUGAAAGUAUUUCAAACAAUGAAGUUCGUAAAUUUCUUGAGAAGGUAAAAUCGCUCACAAAAACGAAUUUAUGGCUUAAAGCCCAAGGUAUAAAUCUACCACUUUCUGGAUGCAGGGUCAUUGUGGAUUAUACAAUUUCACUUUGAAAAACACGACUCGGUGCAGGGUAUGUGAUCCUCUCGCUCUCUUAUAUAGCACAAAACAGAAAGUAUCAAGCAUUUGCAAGACCGAAUUGGCUUGAUAAUACGACUUUUAAAAGAUCAUAUUAUGCAAAAGUCACUAGUUGUUUCAACUACCUUUGGAAACACAACAUUAUGUUCAGUUAGGGUCCACAAACUAAAAUUCUCAACACAUUCCACAAUUACGAAAGAUUAAGAGUAUAAAUAUGGAGUGCGGAAAAGUUGCCCAUAAAAUUGAGGAACCAGGAAAACCAAACCUAUUUCGGAUGUCAUGGAAUGAAAAAUAAACUGACUAUCAACAUCCAAAACAUGUUAACAAUAUAUUUUUUUCAAAAUUUUUUAAUUUUUUUUAAUUUUUUCCAUUUUUUUUAAUGAAAAAAAUUAAACUAUCCUAAAAACUAAAUUAUCCUAAAAAACUACGAAGUACUCCCCCCAAACUAGAGAUGAGUAUUCUACGAAAGCGAAAAAAAUAAAUUUAAUUUAAAAAAAUAAAACAUCAAACAGAAAAUAACAAUAAAAUAACUCGAAGGAAAAAACAAAAAUAAAAGGUCCGAAAGACAACACACUCUCCCCCCAACAGAGUUGUGAAACUGAUGAACAAAAAAUCCCAACUUGAUCCUUUAACAAAAAUAUAUACGACCAUUCCAGAUGAUCAAAAUACUUUGAAUCUUUUAUUUUGGACGCUUGAACAUUGUGUUGCUACACAAGCCCAUCUUUAAACAAUGGAAUUUGAGAUUCUUGGACUAAUGCAAUGAGAUAAGGAUCUACAACUCCAUUAAAGUUGUCAACACUCAAGUAAAAGAAAAUCUAUGAAACCUAAUCAAUGGAGACUUAGUUGCACAAUCAAGGCAAAAUACGCAAAUUGUCCUCCCAUUUUUCGAGUAAAUUCUUUAGGUGGUGUGACUAAAUCUUGUGCAAGGGUUUCGUGGUCCUCGCUGUGAUUCUAACCUCAAAAAAUAGACCGGGUUCACUAGGCGCCAUUACACACCUCACCAUUAUCUUCUUUAUAAACACUCUCACCUCCCUCUUUUCCUAUCAAUCUCGAUAUCUAAAUCCCUAGGGACUCAUCAUAACCAGAUUUACCUUUUUGGUGCAAUUAAUUUUAUGAUUUCCUUCAACUUGUUCUUCAAUGCAAUUCGCAGGCUAGGAUUUUGUAGGAUGGUGGAGAAUCGCUCUUGAGUUGUUGUGCAAUAUUAAAAUUCUAAGUAAAGAAAUUCAUCUGUCCCAAUUGUUGCUCAAUAUUUGUGACCUUAGUGCGCAACUCAUUAUCCUUAUUCCUCCAAUGUGGAGGUGGUUGGUAUGUGUAGGUUAUUAUAUUUUUGCACAAACUCUAAAAACUCAUAAGCCUUAGGAAUUCGUCAAAAUAUGGCAAUAACUAGAACAUAUGGGACAUGGCGCAUUGUAUACAAAUUCCUGAGUCCUUGAGUAGAUUGACAUCGUUUUGAAAUAAUUCUGGAACUCAUGAGCCUGAGGACAUUCAGUCACAAGGUGCCUAUGACUGCAUAUAAAGACAUGGCUCAUUGUAUAGUAUCUUGAGAUCUUUGGGUGACCUUCAUAUAUUUUCGAAUAUAAAAACUCGGGAAACUCAUGAGCCCUCGGACAUUCAGUCACGGUGUGGCUAUGCUUAAACAUUAAAGGACAUGGUCAUAGUACACAAUUCCUCAAACCAAGGGGGGGGGGUGGAGGUGAAUACGUGGAAGAGUUAUGAACCCCCAUCGUAGUUAGGCUUGUGCUACUUCAAAAUUACUUCAAAAGGCAUCCUCAAUUUUUUUUUUAAACGAAAAAUAAAAAAAUAAAUGGAACGAAGUACCCAUGGCAUUAAGCCGAAGAUUCGUCUGUGGGGGUAGAUGAUGGAAAUUUCAAUUCACCAAUUGCUCGCACCAAAGUUUCUAGUGGCUCGCUGUGCCUUUGGCCCGGCAACGGCGCCAAAAACUUUUAAUUCGCUUCCAGAAGGAAUUCUUUACCGCAAGUGUACGGGUCGCGAAGUAGUAAUAAACCGAUAAUCCGGUAUCGUUUCUCUCCCAAGGGACUUAGCUAAAUAUAAGCUGUAGCACUCCACCUCACACUUUCUAACUCGGAUCAACUAAAAAUUAUAUGAAUUGAACUUAAAAUAAAAGAAAAAAAUAAAAAUUCUUGGGUUCUGGGUUGAUGAUUUUAAAAUAAAUCUAAAUAAGAAAGUAAAAAGUUAAUUUAAAUUAAUAAAAACCACCGAAAUCAAUUGAUCAAUCAAUUAGGUUUCUCGAAAUUCAAUGGAGGCUUUUAUAACUCACAUCCGUCGACCAUCGUGGGGGGUCUCGGCUUCGGCAGGAUUUUAGCUUUUACAAAAUAAUUGUUCUUUCAAUCUUCAAUUGUGCAAACAAAUAGUAAUGAACCCACUCACGCCAUAAACUACAAGGCAGCGUAUAUAACUGAGCCAGCAAUUCAUUUAUAAAGUUACUUAGAAUUAAAAUUGAUGUUAUAUCAAGGCCGUGCAUCAUCAUUCGACAUCACAAAGAUGUUUCGAACAUAAUGGACUCCCAAGUUUUCGAAAGAAAAAUUGGGUGUUUUCAUCAUGGUAGUGCAAUGCAUCGAUCCGAAUAAACAAGAAUGGUUUAUCCGAACAUAAUAGGUUCUUCGUUCCCAAUUUCGAAAGUAUCGAAAACGAAAAAAGAAGCGAGGAGAAAAAAUCAAGAAAAUGAGAAAGAAAUCGGUGAUAUUAAAUACCUCAUUGUUUCAUCCCGAUCCCCAAUCAACCUUACACAAUCAAUUCCAGUUGAAAAAAAAAAUAGCCAAAAAAUGACUAAUAAAAAGCAUGUAAAUACAAAUUUAAAAGGGACAUUACGGUAUGAAAAAUUUGCCUUGAAUUGAUAAAUAAUUAAAACUUUUACGAAAAUAUAAAUAAAUCCUAAGAAUAUAUGAAACCUAAACUAAAAGGCUGAAAGAAACCCUAAUCUAAAGCAUAACUAAGCAUAUUUCGGCAUAAAGAGAGAAGGAAGUAUUUAUAGGGCAAUACAAUUAGAAUUCCUAAUGGAGAGGAAACUUCAAAACUCUUAAAUCUGUCAUGUAUGUUGUACCUUAUUUGAACCCACUUUUGAGAUCGCAUAAGCCAAUUCUAUGUGAUUAGAGGGACACAAUUGUAUCCCUUUAAAUUCUUCUUUCCAACGCUGUCAAAAUCAGCUCAAUCGGAACAUCGGAGUAUGUAAGUAAAAAGUUAUGACCAAAUUACCGAGAUGAAUCUGAAUUUUCUACUUUCAGCUUCGCACUUUUCGAACUGUAGCACGGGAGUUUGAACUCUUAAGGGAUGUUUUGACCACUUUUGCCUUUUCUCAUAAUUAACCUGCAAUGAAAAUAAACACGACUCUAAGAUACGAAACAUGAUAAAAAUACAUAAUUAAACUAAAUUAGGACCAACUUAGGUCGGUUAAAUGGCGUUUGGACUACAAUUAUGUAGUCCAAUCAGUCACUGACUGCAUUCGCAUUCAUUAUCGCAGGACCACCACAGGUGUUUAUCCUCAAUUUCCUUUAUUUCACUUUCUAAACUCACAACCCACACCAACAUUGGAUUGUGGCUUUGUAGGGAAUUCGGUCAUCCGUCUUAGAAUGGUAGCUCGGGCAGCGAGCUCAUCCCAGUAGAGUUGCUUAGCCAAAUUGAGGGGCGAAGAGUAGUGUACACCUAAAGCUUUGUUUGCUACCGGAACACUUAAGAUUAGUUUCCAAUGACGUGAUAGACUAGCUACCAACCAUCUUCUAAGAGCAUAAUUGGGUCAACUGCUUAUUCACUAACACAACAAUUUGUGCAUCCUCACACGCGCCAAGUUGUACUAUAAAAGGAGGCAAACACUCACUUUUAUGGGUAAUCCUCUUUUACCCUCUCUUUUACUUUCUCUCUAACUUCAGUGCAAAAAGACUUUCCCUUCCUCUCAUGUUUUUGUUUUCUUCAGUAAUUGACUUAACCGUCAAAGAGCUAAUUCAGAGUAGUUUGAGCGAUCCUUCUCACGUUAGUUGUCUUUCAGGCUUAGCCAAGCAGUGUCCUACACCAUUAGGUACUACUUGUCACCACCACUCUGAUAUGUGUUCAAUUUCCUUUGAUCUCAUAAUUGGCGUUGUCUAUGGAAAAUCGACUCUAGACACUACAAGUAUGUUUCUGAUGGCAUCAAAAAGUUACAACGGCAAUCGAGGUAGCCGAGAAGACUAAGGGGAGUUCCCUCUAUUUUUGAGAAUACCAGCAGAGAAGUGAAUGGCGCUACUGGAUGAUGAUCAAGGGGAAGCCUUGGGCCCUUCUAUGCAAAGGCCAAGUCGGCCACACCCUAUUGUCAGUGAAGACUAUCGAGAUGAGGCCAUGAAAUGCAUGGUAGUAGAAAUGGAAGGGAUGAGGCAAAUUCUUAUUGUCAACAACUUGAAGAUGCCUACCAAUAAGGUAGGUGAAUUGUCGUCCUGAGGUGUGGGCCGUUGAGCAAGAUGCCAUACCUCAUGGCGACUCUAAGGAAAAGUGGGGCUAUGUCGCAUUAUGACGAGGCAGAGAGUCAUGGUGACAGUCGAACUAUGGCUUCGGGCAAGCAAAAGAAUGCACUAAGUCGAUGGGGGGGAUGGGGUGGGGGGAUGGAUUUCGUUCGGUUGGGUGGACAACUUUCGCCAUUCGCUAAAUGCCAAACAUGGUAGGGAAAAGACGAAGGGAAGAAGGAGAAGGAGAGUUACAAAUCAAGCUGGCAACAAAGGCAGUUGUUGUAGUGAAGUUGGUUCCAUCCGCGAAAUCGGUAGAAAGGAUAUUGAGAUCAAUCACAUGGAGUAGUUACUCCCGAGGUACCAAACCCCAUUCAUAUUUGAGAUUUCAGCCGCGAGAUCAGUGGCAAGGAUACCGAUAUCAAUCCACGUGGAGUAGUUACUCCUGAGGUACCAAACCCUGUUCAUACUUGAGAUAGUGGGGGUUGAACCUUCAGAGAAAUUCAAGUCACCCAAUUUCACAAUGUAUGACGGAAAGUCAGAACCGAGGUCUCACAUAAGCCAUUACAAACAAAUGAUGUCAUCACAAGUGUACAAUAUGCGGGUUUUUUUUUUUUUUUUUUCUUUUCUUAAGGGUAUUCCCUUAGCUGGGCAACCAAGCUAAAGUUGUGCGAGAUUUCUUGUAAAGCAAUAUCUAUCAUGAAUUUAUUAAAUUAAAAGCGAAAGCCCAAAAACAUAUCAUCCAUCCAUAGCAAUCAGAUUCCGAUUAUGAGUAAUCAUAAACACCAAAACUAUAGAAACGAUAUGAAAAAUCUUCAUCUAGUCUAUCUAAUACCUUAAUCCACACAAUACAUGGAAAUAUCACAGACUCUUUUGUUGGAUUAGAGACCCUUUUUCUCCCUAUGAAUUUUUUUUUACGUACAUCUUCUGAAGACUUCUUUUUCCAUCAAAAGUAAAAGAGUUAUAUAACUGAUGGGCAACUAUAUCUUUAACAUGUCCCACUAUCCCACUAUCUAAGGGAAAAUAACUGCAUAGGGAGUUAUUUUUUUAAAAGAUAACGGGCCACAAAUUAUUAUUUUAUUUUUUAAAUAAAUAAAAAAUAAAGCGUAACUAACAUUUUCCACUUAGCCUAUUAAACACUUAAUAUGUACCAAUUCAGUAUUGAUACAUUAUCCAAAAUUUGUUCAUAGAUAAUAAAUCUAUAUCCCAAAACAAAGAGGGUAAAUUGCAUUUAGAUUAUGAAGUAAGUUCUUUAGAGCAAGUUUACCUUCCCAAGUUACAAUGCACUUCUCUUUUGAAUGAGAAACAUAUGUGGUAGAUUAUCUUUAUCAAUGAACUCGAAACGCUCAUACGGCUCACAAAUGAAAUCAAAUAUGCCACUUCCUUCUAUAAACUUUCACGUAUACAAAUAAAUAAGAGAAGACAAAUAUGAAUCAGUGGAGUCUUUCAAAUCGAUCAAAUGCGAUACAAAAAUAAAAAGGUAUCUCCAAUACAUAUAAACUACAUUAAAAGAACCUGAGUAGUCCCAUCUGCUCAACAUGUCCUUGUUAGCACGAAGGUGGUAAACUUCGUCAAAGGAUCAACAAUCAUUAAUUAGUACUGAUGUGUUCGACAACCACUUUGUUUGCGUUGACAUGUUCUAGAAUAGCAAGAUAUUUAAUGUCGAUAUGCUUAUUACGACUUCCACUUUUAUUUUUCUUGGCCAAAAACACGGCAACAUAAUUAACUCAGUAAAUCCUCAAUGGCUUGGAAAUUGUGUAAAUAAUUUCAAGACCCCAAAUAAAACUCUGUAACCAUGUAGCCUGUGAUGUCACUUCAAAUCACGAUACAAACUCUACUUUAGUGGUAGAAGUAGCAACCAAAGAU